AAGUCGUAACAAGGUUUCCGUAGGUGAACCUGCGGAAGGAUCAUUAUUGAAUAAAUCUGGCAUAGGUUGUAGCUGGCUCUCUGGAGCAUGUGCACACCUUGUCACCUUUAUCUUUCCACCUGUGCACACACUGUAGUCCUGGAUCCCUCUCGCUGAAAGGCGGAUGCGGGGCCUGCUGGUUGCCCUCUGGGGCUCAGCUUGCUCUGAAUUUCCAGGUCUACGAUUUUUCAUACACCCCAAACGAAUGUUAUAGAAUGUCAUAUCAUUGGGCCCUUGUGCCUAUAAAACUUAUACAACUUUCAACAACGGAUCUCUUGGCUCUC
rnacentral:misc_RNA from 1 species